CUAGAGGGCGGUGCUGCACGCUGCCAGUGAAAGAAUAAUUCCUUACCCUUAGCUCAGCUGAGUUUCACGGCUCAGCAGGGAUGCUGCACCGCCCUCCCACAUGUUACCCACGCCCCCACGAUUGGAUCUCCCUCUCUCCCCCUCAUGUUGGGAGCUGCAGAUUGACCUUAAGGGGGGGUUGAUGGGGAGCUGGCACGGAAAGCAGUUUUGGUCUGCUGGGGAGUUUGACGGUCUGGGGUGACUGGGAGCUCAGAGGAGAGGCUGGAGCAGGAGAAGGAGUGGCCGUUCCAAAGAUCCAAAACCAGAACCUGCAAGGGCGAUUUUAGCAAAACCAAUACAAAACCAAAACACGAAGGAAAUACAGAUCCAACCCCAAACCCCAAGAUUUGGGCCAGCGCACAUCUCGUUAUGUGCAUGUGCAGCUGCCAGUUACAACCAAUCAAGUAGCACCACCCAUCCAGAGCAGCAGCACCAAAUGGGCACAUAUGAAUUCUGCCCCGUCGUUUAUGGGAGAAAUGAUCAUCCCUAAUAGGAAAAUCUGAAAUAUAAGGAAAUGUUACCCAUUACCCUAUAAGAAUAUUAUGUCGUCAUGAGAAGGACAAGUCGGUAUUUUAAACAAUAUGGUAUCCUAUUGAAAUUCCACCCUGAGGAAAUGCGGAAGUGCAAUAGAGACGGGGAACUUUGUUUGUCCCCGCUACUUAGCAACAGCGUGCAUCAUUAAGAAUAACAGGAUCAGCGACGGGGAAACAUCUCACUGGGAGCGGAAGUGACGUCGCGCACGGGGAAAUCACAGCCGCUGCCUAGCAACAGAAGACACCGGACGUGACGAACCUCGGAUAAGGACUAAGCAACGUCACGGAGGAAACAACCGGAAGUGACGUAUCGCUAGUAAAAACGGACUCCGAAAACGGACCUUUUAAAGACAAUACUUUUAUAAAGCACUUCGGAAAUAUCAGUUUAGUACAUUACAAGGAUACUUAUACUACAUGGGAUGUAUUUUUAUCUGCAAUUCAUGAUCGACGAUCAUAGGUUGUCAUGACAACAGUGAAUAACAAAUGGAGGGAGCCAUCUUUGAUCACAUAUGAAACAGGUUUAUUCUUGAUUGUGAAUUGUGAUUGGUUGAUCUGGAAAUAAAAAGGGGGGAUCUGUCAGUAGAGAGCACACUUGCCUUGAGAAAGGGCCUAGUAAGGCCUGAAACGCGUCGGCGCAGUUGGAGGUGACAUCUUGCUGUCUGUGGGAGAGGUGAUUGCCGCAAAAUCCAGAACGCCAUUUCCCGGGAGGCAGACUGGUAUUUAAGAACUUUGCUGUAUUGAGGACUUUGUUUCCUCAUACUAUAUGGUAAUUAUCCCAUUCUUACACCCAGUAUAGCUGUGCACCGGCUGCAUGUGCUCUGUUUACAUUGGAUAGGGGGAUAUGUUAUAAAAGUUUUAUAUGAAUAUUUUGUCAGAAAAAUAAACGGUAAUAC